AUGGCGUACCCCGAAAAGCCAUGAACAGAGUAGGGA
rfam:Mucilaginibacter lappiensis strain ATCC BAA-1855 genome assembly, contig: Ga0104715_119